GAACGGUAGCAGAGCUGACUAAGAAAGCUGUGUGUGAGCCAGGCAGUGGUGGCACAAAAGAAAGCUGUGUGUGACCAUUUUGAAGGAGUAUAAAUAUGACCCCACAGACAGCAGGAGAUGAGCACUGGGCUUUGGUUUGGUUUGCUCUGCCUCAGUAUUCUUCGCUAACGACACACAUGUAUUGGUUCACCUUACAUAGUGUUGUUAAGCUCAACUUGUAGUAACUCUGCCAUUGAGAGAAACUCAUCCAAGAACUGCUUGUGAGGUUCCUGUGGCAACUUGCCACUUCUUCAGUCUCACCUCAGGCCUGUUGUCAAACAUGGUGGCUUCUUCAGAAUUGAACUACAGCUGUGGGUUCGUACCUAAUAUCUGCUUGCUGAAAGGACUAGACUGAAGUUGCUGGUUCAUGCCUGCUGUCUGCAUGCCUAGAGGACUGGUCUGUGGCUGCUGAUUCAUAUUUGGUGUUUGCUACGGGACUGAACUGCUGCAGAAGAAGGUGAAGCUCGCUCCCAAAGAACUCUUGCUGAGCAGGUCCACUUCCCCACAUCCUAACAACUUUUCUCAAAAGCUACACACUGAACAGCAUGGACAGCAGAAGAGACGUGUUUUGCUUUGCUUUGCUUUGCUUUGCUUUGUAUUUCAAGACACGAGUUUCUCCAUGUAUCCCUUAUUGUCCUGGAACUCACUCUGUAGGUUAGGAUGGCCUUGAACUCACAGAGAUUUCACCUACCUCUACCUCUCAAGUGCUGGGAUUAAAGGCAUGCACCACCAC
rnacentral:lncRNA from 1 species